CUUUAUUAUAGGAACUGCCUUUACCGGGAACUCCAUUUGGAAGUCUAGCAGCACAUAUGUUAACUGGGGUUUAUUGGGAAGAAUGUAUUACUCGGUGCUGUACAUUCAGCACUGGUUAUCCUCUAAGCUUUCAGCAGCUUGAAAGACCUUGUGUUCGCCUCCUGUCUCUCCAAGUGUUUCCAGAACAUGACAUGUGCAAGACUUUUCCUAAAAUGCAGAGGUCAGGACAAGGAGAGAAAGCAGAGAAAGUGGUGUACAUUUGUGGAUUUGACAAGGAACAUGAAAUGACAACAAGUAGCGACCAGUAAUUACAGUGUUGUGGCAGCAACUAGCUGCCAUUUCGUCCUUCCUCUCUGGCCUGUGCUUUCAUUAUAUAACUUUAUAUUAUGUAACAUUAUGAAAGUCCAUCUUUCAUCAACACCCAUUUCUUUCAGCACAAUACUUCCUGGAUUGUAUUCCAUCAUUUUAAAAAAAACUAAGCAGUGUGAGCACCUUUAAAAAAAAACACAACUGUGUGGGAUAAGCUAUUUUCUUGGGGAAUGUGGUUGAUAAUAUUCAUACUGCAUAUCACUAGAGAGGACAAGUCCAAAAUGUUUGCUUUUUCUUUUUGGGAAAGUUGGAGGCUUUUUAAUGGGCAAAAUGGCCUUAUGGUAUUCAUUUUACUUCAUGAAAACUUCCUUGAGCCAAGAAAAAGGAUCUAUAAAGGAGAAUAUCUGUGGCUCAGGGUGGAAAUGAGGGGUCCUUGGUGAUCUCUGAGCUUGGUUGUUUUCUUGUAGAAGUUUCAUUACCCAAACUAGCAAAUAUCAUCAGUGCUGGUCUAUGACAUUAGGAUUAGCACUGAUUAUGUUACCUAGUUUGGGCAAUAACACAUGCAAGAAAACAACUAAGCUCAGAGACACCAAGGUCCCCUAAGAAAUCUGCUAAAUUUUCAGAUGCUCAUUUUCUCCUUAACUUCCCCCAGCCCUUCAUUCAUGUUUGUGCAUCUUUUGAGUCAGGGUUGAGUCCUGGCAACUGCCUAGGAUGGUCUCUGCAGUUUUUCUGUCAAGAUUUCAAAAUCUCGCUCUUGCCUUCUUUCCAGGGCUGAGAAAGUGUGACUGGUUCAAGGUCACCCAGUUGAGUUUGUGCUUAAAGUGGGACUAGAACUCACAGUCUCCCAGUUUCCAACCUGGUGCCUAACCUCUGCAACAAAUUGACACCAAAUCAAAAUACUGAUUGAGAAAUGUAGCUGAAUUCAUUCCAUGCACGUUCUGUAUAUAUAUACCAACCACUGUUGGAGAUUACUUAGCUUAAAUCUCAAAUGCUUUGGCAAAGAUGGCUUUGAAAUCUAUUCCUCUAUAGAUAAAUGAUAAUGUUUUAUUAUCUGGGAACAUCAUUGACAUAAACGCAGUGUCUAUCUUC